UGGGGAAUAUUGCACAAUGGGCGCAAGCCUGAUGCAGCCAUGCCGCGUGUAUGAAGAAGGCCCUCGGGUUGUAAAGUACUUUCAGUCGGGAGGAAGGUGGUAAGGUUAAUAACCUUAUCAAUUGACGUUACCGACAGAAGAAGCACCGGCUAACUCCGUGCCAGCAGCCGCGGUAAUACGGAGGGUGCAAGCGUUAAUCGGAAUUACUGGGCGUAAAGCGCACGCAGGCGGUUGAUUGAGUCAGAUGUGAAAUCCCCGGGCUUAACCCGGGAAUUGCAUCUGAUACUGGUCAGCUAGAGUCUUGUAGAGGGGGGUAGAAUUCCAUGUGUAGCGGUGAAAUGCGUAGAGAUGUGGAGGAAUACCGGUGGCGAAGGCGGCCCCCUGGACAAAGACUGACGCUCAGGUGCGAAAGCGUGGGGAGCAAACAGG
rnacentral:rRNA from 1 species